GAAAUAAAUAUUUAUAAGCUUCUAACUUAAUAAACUAAUAAUUAAAAUUAUUAUUAUUUCU
rnacentral:tRNA from 1 species